GAUGAACGCUGGCGGCGUGCUUAACACAUGCAAGUCGAACGAUGAAGCCCAGCUUGCUGGGUGGAUUAGUGGCGAACGGGUGAGUAACACGUGAGUAACCUGCCCUUAACUCUGGGAUAAGCCUGGGAAACUGGGUCUAAUACCGGAUAGGAGCGUCCACCGCAUGGUGGGUGUUGGAAAGAUUUAUCGGUUUUGGAUGGACUCGCGGCCUAUCAGCUUGUUGGUGAGGUAAUGGCUCACCAAGGCGACGACGGGUAGCCGGCCUGAGAGGGUGACCGGCCACACUGGGACUGAGACACGGCCCAGACUCCUACGGGAGGCAGCAGUGGGGAAUAUUGCACAAUGGGCGAAAGCCUGAUGCAGCGACGCCGCGUGAGGGAUGACGGCCUUCGGGUUGUAAAUCUCUUUCAGUAGGGAAGAAGCGAAAGUGACGGUACCUGCAGAAGAAGCACCGGCUAACUACGUG
rnacentral:rRNA from 1 species